rnacentral:tRNA from 1 species
CGAGGCAUAGCUCAGUUUGGUAGAGCGCUACGUUCGGGACGUAGAGGCCGCAGGUUCGAAUCCUGUUGCCUCGACCA